rnacentral:rRNA from 1 species
GACAGAGGUGCCGAGCGUUAGGCGGAAUCACUGGGCUUAAAGCGUGUGUAGGCGGAUCCGUAAGUACCUUGUGAAAUCCCACGGCUUAACCGUGGAACUGCUUGGUAUACUGCGGGUCUUGAGCCACUUAGGGGCUACCGGAACAAAUGGUGGAGCGGUGAAAUGCGUAGAUAUCAUUUGGAACGCCAAUGGUGAAAACAGGUAGCUGGGAGUGUGCUGACGCUGAGACACGAAAGCCAGGGGAGCGAACGGG